rnacentral:rRNA from 1 species
UACGAAGGGGGCUAGCGUUGUUCGGAAUCACUGGGCGUAAAGCGCACGUAGGCGGAUUGUUAAGUCAGGGGUGAAAUGCCAAGGCUCAACCUUGGAACUGCCUUUGAUACUGGCAAUCUCGAGUCCGGGAGAGGUGAGUGGAACUGCGAGUGUAGAGGUGAAAUUCGUAGAUAUUCGCAAGAACACCAGUGGCGAAGGCGGCUCACUGGCCCGGUACUGACGCUGAGGUGCGAAAGCGUGGGGAGCAAACAGGG